rnacentral:lncRNA from 1 species
UUUGCUAGAACACUGUGAUAGAUUAACUGCAGAAUUCUUCCUGUAGGAUUGGGGAUAUAACGGGCUUCACUAACCUUCCCUAGGCAGUGAAACAUCCCCCAAAUCUGAUGGAUCUAGAGUCAGGGAAGUCUGCUUUUGUACCUGCUGGGCCCCAAAGUUGGGCAUUUUUCUCUCUGUUCCCUCUCUUUUGAAAAUGUAAAAUAAAACCAAAAAUAGACAACUUUUCCUUCAGCCAUUCCAGCAUAGAGAACAAAACCUUAUGGAAACAGGAAUGUCAAUUGUGUAAUCAUUGUUCUAAUUAGGUAAAUAGAAGUCCCUAUGUAUGUGUUACAAGAAUUUCCCCCACAACAUCCUUUAUGACUUAAGUUCAAUGACAGUUUGCCUUUGGUAGUAAAGGAUUUUCUCCAUGGCCUGUAUUAAGACCAUUAGAAAGCACCAGGCCAUGGGAGCAGUGAUCAUCUGCUGACUGUUCUCGUGGAUCUUGUGUCCAGGGACAUGGGGCGAUGUGCCUCGUAUGUGUUAGAGGGUGGAAUGGAUGUGUUUGGCACUGCAUGGGAUCUGGUGCCCCUCUUCUCCUGGAUUUGCAUCCCCACCCAGGGCCCGCUUUUACUAAGUGUUCUGCCCUAGCUUGGUUCAAGGAGGUCAUCCAACUGACUUUAUCCAGUGGAAUUGGGAUAUAUUUGAUAUACUUUUGCCUAACAACAUGGAAAAGGGUUUUCCUUUCCCUGCAUCCUACUGCUUUGAACUUCCAAGUAUGUCUACUCACCUUUUAAAAUGUAAACAUUUUCAGAAAAAUGAGGAUUGCUUUCCUUGUAUGCACUUUUUAUCUUGACUACCUGAAUUGCAAGGAAUUUUUAUAUAUUCAUAUGUUCCAAAGUCAGCAACUCUCCUGUUGGUUCAUUAUUGAAUGUGCUGUAAAUUAAGUCUUUUGCAAUUAAAAUGAGGUUUGCCCACAUCCAAAAAAAAAAAAGAAA